rnacentral:rRNA from 1 species
CGACCGCGUACUUUUUGUAGAACGGUCCGGCGAGUUACGCUUACUGGCAAGGUUAAGCACUUCAGGUGUGGAGCCGUAGGGAAACCAAGUCUUAAGAGGGCCAGAGUCAGUAGGAGUAGACCCGAAACCGGGUGAUCUAUCCAUGUCCAGGUUGAAGCUGCCGUAAGAGGUAGUGGAGGACCGAACCCACAUCCGUUGAAAAGGGUGGGGAUGAGGUGUGGAUAGGGGAGAAAUUCCAAUCGAACCCGGAGAUAGCUGGUUCUCCUCGAAAUAGCUUUAGGGCUAGCCUCGAUACAGAUUUGCGGAGGUAGAGCACUGAAUUUCCUAGGGGGCGUCAAAGCCUACCGAAGAAUAUCAAACUCCGAAUGCCGCGUAAUCGAUUAUCGGGAGUCAGACUGCACGAGAUAAGUUGGGCGGUCAAAAGGGAAAGAGCCCAGACCUUCAGUUAAGGUCCCCAAGUGCGCGUUAAGUGGAAAAGGAUGUGGGAUUUCGAAGACAACCAGGAUGUUGGCUCAGAAGCAGCCAUCCAUUCAAAGAGUGCGUAAUAGCUCACUGGUCGAGAGGUCCUGCGCCGAAAAUGUCCGGGGCUGAAACGCGCCACCGAAACUAAGGAACCGAAAGGUUGGUAGAGGAGCAUUGCAUGCGGGAAGAAGCAGUACCGAAAGGAGCUGUGGACUGCAUGGAAGAGAGAAUGCCGGAAUGAGUAGCGAGAAUAAGGUGAGAAUCCUUAUGGCCGAAUAUCCAAGGUUUCCAGAGUAAAGCUGAUCUGCUCUGGGUAAGUCGGGGCCUAAGGCGAGGACGAGAGUCGUAGCCGAUGGACAACAGGUGGAGAUUCCUGUACUGCGGUAUGACAGAACUGUGGGGACACGUAAGGAAAGCGGAAGCCGGGAAUGGAAAGCCCGGUGCAAGCGGGGUACCAGUCACUUUGGCAAAUCCGGGUGGCAAUGGGAAGCCGUGAUGCGGAGCGAAAUAAAGUAGUGAAGUCCGUGAGCCAUGCGUCAAGAAAAGCCGCUAUUGUUUAUACCGUACCCGUACCGUAAACCGACACAGGUGGAUGAGGAGAGAAUCCUAAGGCCGGCGGAAGAAGCAUUGUCAAGGAACUCGGCAAAAUGGCCCCGUAACUUAGGGAUAAGGGGUGCCUGGGAAACCAGGCCGCAGAGAAUAGGCUCAAGCAACUGUUUAGCAAAAACACAGGUCUAUGCGAAACCGAAAGGUGAGGUAUAUGGGCUGACGCCUGCCCGGUGCUGGAAGGUUAAGAGGAGAGGUUAGCGGUAACGCGAAGCUUUGAAUUUAAGCCCCAGUAAACGGCGGCCGUAACUAUAACGGUCCUAAGGUAGCGAAAUUCCUUGUCGGGUAAGUUCCGACCCGCACGAAAGGCGUAAUGAUUUGAGCGCUGUCUCGACAAUGCAUCCGGUGAAAUUGAAGUACCAGUGAAGAUGCUGGUUACCUGCGCCAGGACGGAAAGACCCCAUGGAGCUUUACUCCAGUCUGGUACUGGGACUCGGUAUUGCAUGUACAGGAUAGGUGGGAGGCUAGGAGAUGGUAACGCCAGUUGCCAUGGAGCCGCUGUUGGGAUACCACCCUUGCAGUAUUGGGUUUCUAACCAGCCGCCGUGACCCGGCGGUGGGACAAUGCCAGACGGGGAGUUUGACUGGGGCGGUCGCCUCCGAAAGGGUAUCGGAGGCGCCCAAAGGUUCCCUCAGAAUGGACGGAAACCAUUCGAAGAGUGCAAAGGCAGAAGGGAGCUUGACUGCGACACCGACGGGUGGAGCAGGUACGAAAGUAGGGCUUAGUGAUCCGGUGGUAUUAAGUGGGAAUGCCAUCGCUCAACGGAUAAAAGCUACCCUGGGGAUAACAGGCUUAUCACUCCCAAGAGUUCACAUCGACGGAGUGGUUUGGCACCUCGAUGUCGGCUCAUCGCAUCCUGGGGCUGUAGUAGGUCCCAAGGGUUGGGCUGUUCGCCCAUUAAAGCGGUACGCGAGCUGGGUUCAGAACGUCGUGAGACAGUUCGGUCCCUAUCCGGCGUGGGCGUAGGAUAUCUGAGAGGAGCUGUCCUUAGUACGAGAGGACCGGGAUGGACGGGCCGCUGGUGCAUCGGUUAGACUGCCAAGUCUACGGCCGAGUAGCCAAGCCCGGAAGGGAUAAACGCUGAAGGCAUCUAAGCGUGAAGCCCCCCUUAAGAUGAGAUAUCCCAUUCGUUAAGAAGUAAACCCCCUUGAAGACGACGAGGUAGAUAGGGCAGAGGUGGAAGUGUGGUAACACAUGGAGCUGACUGUUACUAAUCGGGUGAGGGCUUGACCAAGAA